rnacentral:sRNA from 1 species
GAGAGAGACUCAGGAAGAAUGAGCCCAAAAUAGGGAAAGAUCACAACCCCAGCCAGACGAUGGGGAACCCUAUGUCCUCUGGAUCCCAAGAGAGGAUGUGCUAACCAACUUUCCCCUACCCACAGCGGGAGCACCAGCCAUUUAGCCUGCAGUGUGAGGCUGUGUACAAAGCCCUGAAGAUGCCCUACCGAAUCCUGCCUCGGCAGCUGCCCCAAAAGGAGCGUCAGGUGGCCACAGCUGUGCAAUGGACCAAGGCAGAAGGCAGCUAUGGCAUCCCACUGUGGAUCAUCAUCCUAGCCAUCCUGUUUGGCCUCCUGCUCCUAGGUCUACUCAUCUACAUCCUCUACAAGCUCGGAUUCUUCAAACGCUCCCUCCCAUAUGGCACCGCCAUGGAAAAAGCUCAGCUCAAGCCUCCAGCCACCUCUGAUGCCUGAGUCCUCCCAAUUUCAGACUCCCAUUCCUGAAGAACCAGUCCCCCCACCCUCAUUCUACUGAAAAGGAGGGG